rnacentral:tRNA from 1 species
GCGGCUCAAUGGGAGAGCCUCUGCUUGACAUGCAGAAAAUCCCAGGUUCUAUCCGUGCCAUAUGCA